rnacentral:rRNA from 1 species
GACGAACGCUGGCGGCGCGCUUAACACAUGCAAGUCGAACGGAAAGGCCUGCUUUCCCUUGUGGAUUGCGGGUACUCGAGUGGCGAACGGGUGAGUAACACGUGAGUGAUCUGCCCCCAACUUGGGUAUAAGCCUGGGAAACUGGGUCUAAUUCCCGAUAGGACUGCAGGGUGGUGCCUGUGGUGGAAAACGAUUUUCUAGUGGUUGGGGAUGAGCUCGCAGCCUAUCAGCUUGUUGGUGGGGUAAUGGCCUACCAAGGCGGCGACGGGUAGCCGGCCUGGGAGGGUGGACGGCCACAUUGGGACUGAGAUACGGCCCAGACCCCUACGGGAGGCAGCAGUGGGGAAUAUUGCACAAUGGGCGGAAGCCUGAUGCAGCGACGCCGCGUGGGGGAUGACGGCCUUCGGGUUGUAAACUCCUUUCGACCGCGAGGAAGCCACCUGGUUGGAAGGGUGGUGACGGUAGUGGUAGAAGAAGCACCGGCUAACUACGUG